AGCAGCCAAUUGUUUCUGAAAUGAUUCCAGGGAUCUUUCCACCAUUAGUCUCUAUGAUGUAGACGUCAUUGGCUGGGCUGUAUGUUUUGCGCAGUCUUCAUUUCCCCUCUUGAAGAUGGAGGUGAUCCUUGAACAGCUACUGUCUGGGUGAUAUGGGAACACCUACAACACUGUAAGGUAUUGAACAACAAGUUAAAGUGAACAAAUGCUUUCUGCCUUAAAAUGAAACAAAAGCUGGAGCACUGCUGUCAUCUAAGCUUGUAUCUUGAAGAAUGUUUGAAGCCGGCAAAGAAGGACUACAGGCAUGUCAAACAGCAGAGGCAACAUUCUUUAGACAGAAUGAACAAACCCACGACCAACAAAUCCAAUAAUGCUGCAGUCCUGCCCACAGCUGGUGAUGAAUGGCGGUGAAUAAUUAAAUAUCUAAUGACUUCAUGAACUUUGCUAUCCUCAAUAAUGGCAGGGCCUAGCGCAUAAUGCAAAAGAUAAUACUGAAGUAUUUUCAAAAAGCUUCAGACAGAGUGGAUGAUGCAUCCUGGUCUCUUCUUCAGAACACUGGCAGUACAAAUGGCAGUUCCAAAACAAAUGUUCGCCCAAUCAAUUUACACUCAAUCAUCAUGUCAUGAUAGUGCUUUCAAGCAGCACGCAUGCUCUACUAACUUGUUCUUCAGUAUUUAAUUUAGCUUUCACCAGGUCCACAUCACUUCAGAUCCAAUCCAUUGUGCUGGGGCACAAGAGUGCACAAAGGAGGCAAAUUGUAGAGGUGAUGUGAGAGGAAGUGCUGUUGACAACAAGGAGCAUUUGACCAACUGUCGCAACAGGGAAUGCAAGAAAAAUUGAAGCUAAUAAAAUUUCAAGGGAGAAAGUUCCAUUGUUUAGAACCACAUACAACACAAAGAAAGAUGGUUGUGAAUGUUAGAGACCAGUUAUCUCAACCCUAAGAUAUGACUUGAAGAGGUCCUCAGGUUGGUGUCCUAAACACACCAUUUUCCAUUGUUUUGUCAAUGACCUUAAUUCAUUCAGAAGGUCAAAAGUGAGAUGUUCACUGAUGAUUGCACAUUGUUCAGCACCAUUCAUGACUUCUCAAAACACUGAAAUAUUUCACACCUACAUGCAGGAAGAACUGGACAACACCCAGGCUUGGGCUGAUAUGAUAUCAUUUGUGCCAAAACUUACCUCUUCAUGACCAUCCUCAACAAGACUGAAAUAACUCCACAGUGGCAGGGAUCCUUCAAUUACACUUGGAGAGUCCUUGACACUGAUCCAGCUCCCUCAGAGCCAGCUCUAAGAGUGAACAUAAUGUCUGGCACUACGGUGCUUCUCUGUCAGCCAGAGCUCCCUGACAGAACCAGAUUAACAGCCCCAGCCAGUGAACUUAUUAUAUGAGGUCCACCUGACUGACCGCAUUAUAAUUACCACAAAGAGGAUGUCCAGUUAUGUUUCCUUGAUAUUUAAUAGCCUUACCAUUGCAGAAUUCCCAUCAUCAAUGUCCUAGUCGCCUCCUUCAUCAAAAGAUUUCCUGGAUCUAUUAUAUAAAUACUGUGGCUAUAAGAACAGGUUGGAAACUGGGUCUUUUGUAUGUGUGGCUUUCUUCUAACUCCAGAAUAGUUGCCCAUCAUCUAUAAAACACAAAUCAGGAAUGUUGGAGAAUACUCUCAACUUGCCUGGGUAAGUGCUCCUCCAACAGUGCUCGAGAAGAUCUACAUCAUCCAGGACAAAAGAGGUCACUUCUACAUAAGUAUUACUCCUUGCACUAUUGUUAUAUGUUUUGCCUUCUACAAGAUAUACUGUAGCAACUUGUCAGAACUGGCUCAACGGCACCUCUCAAACUUAUGAACUUUAUGAAGGAAAAGGAAAACAGAUGCAUUGGAAAACCACUGCCUCCAAACUUCUCUCCAAGUCAGUUACCGACUUGACAUAGAAAUAUAUCGCUAUAGCUUGGUCAUUGAUGUGUCACUACCUGAUGGGCUGCGGAGGUUCAAGAAGCCAGCUUAUUACAAACUUCUCGAGGAAAAUUAGAAAUGGACAAUAAAUGCUGGGCUGGUCAGCAACUGUAACAUUUCGUGAAUGAAUAAUAAAAAAAGAACGAGUCUCCAGAAAAUGAUAUUGAAUUGCAUUUUAAAAAAAAUUUUUGCUCUAAUUAUGUAACGAUGAGAACGGCUGAAGAUAGAUUUUUUUGGCUAUCAAUCCACCAACCUGAUCAACCGGUAAAUUGUGCUAAUACUUCAUUUAUCUACACAGUUAUAAAUGUUGAAUAGUGCCAAAUAAUCAUUACUACUAUAACUGAAAACCUAACUCAAAUUUUAGUGUUUAAAGUGUACUUCAUGGACCCUGUGAUUAUGAUUAUAUUGUUACUUCAUCAUGUCAUUCUGAUAUAUUUUGCAAUAUGUACAGUUUUUAUUUUGCCUAUGAAAAUCAGAUUAAUUAGAAAAUAGACUUUUCUUUAACAUGUGAAAGCCAUAAAUUGCAUUUUCAUAAAUUUGCAAAUUUAUUAUUUCUGUGCUUUUAGUCUAUUAAUCAAUUAUGUUAAUAGUGACUAAUUUGCAUUGCCUAAUUGGGCUACUUUGGAAAUACAGUUUCAUCCCAAACUCA